UCUGAUCACAAAGAUAUCUUCACAAAGGACCAGACAAAUCGCUACACACACAGAGUUCAGCUCAUUAAUGAUCAUCAUCCAGGAAAUCUCUCUCUACUCAUAUCACACCUGACUGUAGGGGAUGGAGGAUGGUACAGGUGUCAGAUCAGCAACAAUGAUUAUAAAGACGUCUCAGUCACAGUUAAAGAGUCUCUCCCCUUCGUCCCCUUCGCUGUGGUGACUGUGAUCUUUCUGCACAUCAUCGUAGCUGUGGUCUAUUGCAGCACCAGAAAGAAAGACUCUCCAUAUAGUCCUGAUAGAGUUCAUUACAGCAGAGCUGAUGGAGAUGGAAAAGUGAAUCUGCAGUAGAGAACAUCAUCAGCAGAAGAGACACAUGUUUAACAGCAGCGACCCUCAACACACCUGAUUAACAGAUCAGAUAGUUCCAUGAGUUUAUAUCACAUGAGUGUAUUACAUCAUCCACCUGUGGCUUUGAAAAAUAAGGCUUAUAACUGAAAUAGAUUCAAAAUAUAAAAUUUAGUUAUGCAUAAAAGACUCUUGUAUUUCACAUGAAAUCAGGAAAUUACUGUAGUGUCAUUUGUGUUGAUAUUUUUUAUUUUAAUCUUUUUUUAGACCUUCAGCUCCCAAUUUUUUUAAUAAUAAUAUUUUAUCAAAUUCAUACAAUAUGUGAGUAAAUCAUUUAUAGUUUUAUUGCUGAUACUCACAUGCUUUUGGUUCACUUUCACAACAUAUACACCAUUUAAAUCUCUGCACAUUGUAUACAUUCUCUCACAUAAUUUUGUACA